rnacentral:rRNA from 1 species
GCGGCUACACAUGCAGUCGAGCGGCAGCGGGAGGAAGCUUGCUUCCUCGCCGGCGAGCGGCGGACGGGUGAGUAAUGUCUGGGGAUCUGCCCGAUGGAGGGGGAUAACCACUGGAAACGGUGGCUAAUACCGCAUAACGUCGCAAGACCAAAGUGGGGGACCUUCGGGCCUCACACCAUCGGAUGAACCCAGAUGGGAUUAGCUAGUAGGUGGGGUAAUGGCUCACCUAGGCGACGAUCCCUAGCUGGUCUGAGAGGAUGACCAGCCACACUGGAACUGAGACACGGUCCAGACUCCUACGGGAGGCAGCAGUGGGGAAUAUUGCACAAUGGGCGCAAGCCUGAUGCAGCCAUGCCGCGUGUGUGAAGAAGGCCUUCGGGUUGUAAAGCACUUUCAGCGAGGAGGAAGGUGGUGAACUUAAUACGUUCAUCAAUUGACGUUACUCGCAGAAGAAGCACCGGCUAACUCCGUGCCAGCAGCCGCGGUAAUACGGAGGGUGCAAGCGUUAAUCGGAAUUACUGGGCGUAAAGCGCACGCAGGCGGUUUGUUAAGUCAGAUGUGAAAUCCCCGAGCUUAACUUGGGAACUGCAUUUGAAACUGGCAGGCUAGAGUCUCGUAGAGGGGGGUAGAAUUCCAGGUGUAGCGGUGAAAUGCGUAGAGAUCUGGAGGAAUACCGGUGGCGAAGGCGGCCCCCUGGACGAAGACUGACGCUCAGGUGCGAAAGCGUGGGGAGCAAACAGGAUUAGAUACCCUGGUAGUCCACGCCGUAAACGAUGUCGAUUUGGAGGUUGUGCCCUUGAGGCGUGGCUUCCGGAGCUAACGCGUUAAAUCGACCGCCUGGGGAGUACGGCCGCAAGGUUAAAACUCAAAUGAAUUGACGGGGGCCCGCACAAGCGGUGGAGCAUGUGGUUUAAUUCGAUGCAACGCGAAGAACCUUACCUACUCUUGACAUCCAGAGAACUUUCCAGAGAUGGAUUGGUGCCUUCGGGAACUCUGAGACAGGUGCUGCAUGGCUGUCGUCAGCUCGUGUUGUGAAAUGUUGGGUUAAGUCCCGCAACGAGCGCAACCCUUAUCCUUUGUUGCCAGCGGUUCGGCCGGGAACUCAAAGGAGACUGCCAGUGAUAAACUGGAGGAAGGUGGGGAUGACGUCAAGUCAUCAUGGCCCUUACGAGUAGGGCUACACACGUGCUACAAUGGCGUAUACAAAGAGAAGCGAACCUGCGAGGGUAAGCGGACCUCAUAAAGUACGUCGUAGUCCGGAUUGGAGUCUGCAACUCGACUCCAUGAAGUCGGAAUCGCUAGUAAUCGUAGAUCAGAAUGCUACGGUGAAUACGUUCCCGGGCCUUGUACACACCGCCCGUCACACCAUGGGAGUGGGUUGCAAAAGAAGUAGGUAGCUUAACCUUCGGGAGGGCGCUUACCACUUUGA